rnacentral:lncRNA from 1 species
CAAGCUUAAAGCUUCUCUCCAGCCUUAACAUAAGCAUGCGCGGGUGCAAGAUUUGCAUCGUCGGAAGGAUCAAAACUACGUGCAUAGGACGCCCGAGCACUGCAGCUCGUCUCUAGCCUCAACACAAGCACGAGCCCAUGCAAGAAAUGUAUCAUCGACCGGAUCCAAACUCCUCGCAACAGGGAGUGCGCAUAAGCUUCCGCGACACGAGCUCAGGCAAUACAAUUGAAUGACAUGCCCUCGCAGUGCAACAUCUGCCUAAUAACACGCCCAAGCUCGGAGAUCAUCUCCAGCCUUAACAUAAGCAUACGUCCGUGCAAGAACUGCAUCGUCGGCAAGAUACGAGCUUGUGUGCCCAUGCGAGGCAGAUCCAAGAAUGUGUGCCUCGGCCGAAAGGGGACGGCGCCUCAUGCGUCGGCAUGCUGCAAGGUUGACUAUUGCUUGGUUUCGGGCAUCUUAUGACAAUGCAUCGCCCACACCGUGCGUUGACACCUAUUAGCACGCUCUUGCAUGGGGUUGGGCCCCAACAGCUUUGGUUGGAUCUUCCAUCCAUGUCUCGGCCUCGCCCUCUAC